CCUACGGGUGGCAGCAGUGGGGGAUAUUGCACAAUGGGGGAAACCCUGAUGCAGCGACGCCGCGUGGGUGAAGAAGCGCCUCGGCGCGUAAAGCCCUGUCAGCAGGGAAGAAAAUGACGGUACCUGAAGAAGAAGCCCCGGCUAACUACGUGCCAGCAGCCGCGGUAAUACGUAGGGGGCGAGCGUUAUCCGGAUUUACUGGGGGUAAAGGGGGCGCAGACGGCGAUGCAAGCCAGGAGUGAAAGCCCGGGGCCCAACCCCGGGACUGCUCUUGGAACUGCGUGGCUAGAGUGCAGGAGGGGCAGGCGGAAUGCCUGGUGUAGCGGUGAAAUGCGUAGAUAUCAGGAGGAACACCGGUGGCGAAGGCGGCCUGCUGGACUGCAACUGACGUUGAGGCCCGAAAGCGUGGGGAGUAAACAGGAUUAGAUACCCCGGUAGUC
rnacentral:rRNA from 1 species